rnacentral:lncRNA from 1 species
UAAGAAUAUUAUCACUCGUUGUCAUAAUACAUGAAGUCUUACUUGAAAAUGCUUCGAGCAUCUCGCUGUGGAAGGUAAAAUAGAAAUUAUACCAACAAAAUUCUAACUAUAAUAGAAUACAAAUUAAACUCCAAUUAGACCAUAAUAAUGUUAAACAAGCUUUAAUCAAAUUCAAAGAAAUCUCAAAGAAAUUUCAAAGAAACAAUAAAAAAUCUUAAAGAAAUAUUAGAAUGAUCACAAAUAUCUCUCAAAUACAUCUCAAUUCAAUCUUAAUUUAAUCCUAGUUAAAAUCAUAUUGGACUUUAUUCAAACUUUAGGCCAAAACUAAUUAAAUCUUAAAUCCUAAAAAAAUCCUAAUAAAAUUCUUAAUCCUAAAUCAAACCCUAAACCUUAAACUAAAUCCUAAACCUUAAAUCAAAUCCUAACCAAAUCCUAAAUCAAAAUCUAUUCAAACCCUAAACCUUAAAUCAAAUCCUAAAUCCUAAAUCAAAUUCUAACCAAACCCUAAACCAAACCCUAACCAAAUCCUAAACCAAACCCUAACCAAAUCCUAAACCAAACUCUAUCCAAAUCCUAAACCCUAAAUC